rnacentral:misc_RNA from 1 species
AACGCACAUUGCGCCCGCUAGUAUUCUAGCGGGCAUGCCUGUUCGAGCGUCAUUUGCACCCCUCAAGCUCACUGAGCUUGGUGUUGGGGCUCCGCGGGAGCGGGCCCCUAAAAGCAUUGGCGGGCACGCUGGGUACCCGAGCGCAGUAAUUUGUCUCGCUUUGGGCGGCCCUGGGCGCCUGGCCGUAAAGCCUGCCGCAAGGCAAAGACCACUAAGUUGACCUCGGAUCAGGUAGGAAUACCCGCUGAACUUAA